GCGUCGGGAUACUGUUGGGCUAGGGGACGGGAGGGGCCGAGCGUAUUCCCGGGGUAGGGGGGAAAUCCUAUAAUUCCGGGAGGACCGCCUGUGGCGAAGGCUGGCGGCUAGAACGAGCUCGACGGUGAGGGACGAAAGCUGGGGGAGCGAACCGGAUUAGAUACCCGGGUAGUCCCAGCCGUAAACGAUGCGGGCUAGGUGUUAGGGUGGCUACGAGCCACUCUAGUGCCGCAGCGAAGGCAUUAAGCCCGCCGCCUGGGGAGUACGGCCGCAAGGCUGAAACUUAAAGGAAUUGGCGGGAGAGCACCACAAGGCGUGAAGCGUGCGGUUUAAUUGGAGUCAACACCGGAAACCUUACCGGGGGCGACAGCAGGUUGAAGGCCAGAUUGACGAUCUUGCCAGACAAGCUGAGAGGAGGUGCAUGGCCGUCGCCAGUUCGUGCCGUGAGGUGUCCUCUUAAGUGAGGCAACGAUCGAGACCCGCGCCUC
rnacentral:rRNA from 1 species